UACGGAGGGUGCGAGCGUUAUUCGGAAUCACUGGGCGUAAAGGGCGCGUAGGCGGCCUGGUAAGUCAGGGGUGAAAUCCCACGGCUCAACCGUGGAAUUGCCUUUGAAACUGCUGGGCUUGGAUCCUGGAGAGGGUGGCGGAAUUCCUGGUGUAGGAGUGAAAUCCGUAGAUAUCAGGAGGAACACCGGUGGCGAAGGCGGCCACCUGGACAGGUAUCGACGCUGAGGUGCGAAAGCGUGGGGAGCAAACAGG
rnacentral:rRNA from 1 species